rnacentral:tRNA from 1 species
AGAAAUGUAGCUCAGUGGGGGGCAUGUGCUUUGCAUGGAUGAGGCCCCAGGUUCGAUCCCUGGCAUCUCUC